GCCCCCGCGCGGGGGGCGGGGGGUGUGAGGUGAGGUGCGGGGAUGAGGUGGCGGCGGCGGAGCCCCCCGCGCCCGGCCCCGUGUUCGCCGUCGCGGUUCGGCGGCCCCGCCUCGGGUGCCGGUGCCCUCGGGUGCUGUAAGCACAGGGCGGCGCCUCCCCGAGGGACGGCGGGGCUGCUGCGGGGGCGCUUGGCUCCAAUCUCCGCCUCUUAGCGACGUGCUGGCAGGCCGGGGCGCAGCGCUCAGCCGUCUGACCGGGGGGCUGCGCCUGCGGCCCUGCGCGGUCCGCUGCUUCCUCCGGCGUCGGGAAUAGAAGGCAGAGGAGGUGACUGUGGUUCUGUGACCGCUCAGCUGCAGCCACCGUCGCAGGGUCCCCAUCACGGCAGGUACCAGAGCAGCGGCUCCUCCUGGUCCUAGGGGUGGUUGACCCCAUCACCCAGCUGUUCCACCUGCGCGUCUCCAGGGCACGGAAGAAUUGCCACUAGCAGCACAUUUCUGCCAGUGAAAGUGAAGCUGCGUGGCACAGGGAACAAGCUCGCGUCCCUGCCGGCACCGGCCCAGAGCCACCCCCUCCACCCUCCAGGUCCCCUGGGAAACAACUAGCGGAAGAGGUGAUGGGAUGCUCCAGAGUUUAUUAUUAAAAAAAAAACCAGACACAUGGAUGACUUAUGGGAACAAACAAUCUCCAAGAUGUUUAGAGCCGUAAACUACUUUUUGGAGAAGGCCCUGAAGGCGGGAGGAGCUCUGCCGGAAAUGCUGCGUGCUGCAGUCAGGCAGCUGAGGAGAGCUGAGCUCAGAACAUCUCAGCCCACACGCAGCAAAGCCCCGGGAACAUCGCUCCUUCAGGUUCCACCACGGCUGUUCCACAGCAGAACACACCACCCCUGUCCCUGCCCCUACGCUCUGGCAGGAGGCUCGGGGGACUCAGAGCGUAAAGAAACAGGCGGUGCUGUGAAAAUCAGAAGGAACAGCGAGAAAAGAUGGGGCCCAGGAGCACAGGACAGAGGAACACAUUCACGCGGGUGGCUCUGAGGCUCUCCUCCAGCAGGUCCUGCCGUCGCAGGAAGCCUCCAGACGCUCACAGCAGGAGCCUGGCUGAGUCCUCAGAGCCUCUUCCUCCUCCAGAGGCCACUUGUGCCCUGCAGGCAGGGGACAGGUGAAGUGAGGAGGGUCACCGAGCUGGGUCAGCCUUGGUCACCAGCCCCUGCGCUUAGCCCAUAGCAGGUUCUUUAAAACCCUUUGGUGAGGAGCCUCACAGAUGCAGGUGAGGACAGGGAUCACACCGCCCCACAGUGACCAGCGCGCCUCUCCCCGUGGCCAGGAGCAUGCGUCCUGCGCCAGGCAGUGACAGGAACAGGGCCCAGCUUCUGCUUUCCAUCAGUAAAUCACCUCGAGCCUGGGAUUUUAGGAUGCCAUAGCAAGCAGAGCAGCUACACUAACUACUUACUACAGCAGAUGGGAGGGAGGGGAAAAAAAAAAAAAAGAAAUAGCUGCAAUUGCAGUCAGCUGAAGUACUGAGUUCCAGUCAGGGAGCAGCUCCUGGAACCCUCCACGCACACAGAAGAGAAACCCCCACGGCGACACCACAGCAGAGCCCCCGGUCAGCCCCAGGGCCUAAAUGAAACAGAUGGAAACGUCCCGUGCCCGAGCGAGGAAGACCCACGCUUCCCUCGGGCUCCCUCAUCACUCAUAGAUCCAGUGCUCGGCCGCGUCCUCCCAGCACGUCAGCUCCUCGGGGCGGAACCAGAGGGAGAUCUCCUGCCGGGCACUCUCGACCGAGUCGCUGCCGUGAAUCACGUUCCUGUGCGGGAAGAGGAAGGGGUCAGCCAGCACCACGCAGAGAGAGGCUGGGGAGGGGAGCUGCAGGUGGGAAGAUUUCACCCUGACCAAUUUAACCGAGCCUGCUGAGCCGGUCACGUCACGCAGUGCUCCUUGCCACCACACAGCCCUCCUCCUUCCAGCUCGGUGGCUGCUCGUGAGGUGGGUUAGGGCACGUAUGUGUAGGAGCUGCCAGUUUCCAGCAGUCCUCUUUUCUGUAAUAAAUUAUUUAUGUGCUGAAAGCGG